GGUGGCUCAGUGGUAGAGUGCUUGCCUUGCAUGCAUGAACUCCUAGGUUCGAUUCCUCAGCACCA
rfam:Dipodomys ordii contig_39904, whole genome shotgun sequence.